rnacentral:rRNA from 1 species
CACGUAGGGGGCAAGCGUUGUCCGGAUUUAUUGGGCGUAAAGAGCUCGUAGGUGGUUCAGUAAGUCAGGUGUGAAACCUCCAGGCUCAACCUGGAGACGCCACUUGAUACUGCUGUGACUGGAGUCCGGUAGGGGAGCGUGGAAUUCCUGGUGUAGCGGUGAAAUGCGCAGAUAUCAGGAAGAACACCCGUGGCGAAGGCGGUUCUCUGGAACGCAACUGACGCUGAGACGCGAAAGCGUGGGGAGCAAACAGG